CCUAAUUCGUUUUCUAAUUUCUUUCUUCUGAGUAAUUUAUAUCUUUCAAACCUACCGAUCUCAUUCUCUACAGCGUUUUCAGAAACUCUAUUGAAUUGAACCUAAAACACUAUCAACUAUAUCUCUGAAUGAAUUUGAAGGUACACUUUCAUUCAAAUCAAAUCUUGUUUUUUUUUUUUUUUUUUCUUGAUUGAUUCUUUAAUUACUUUAUAUCUUUGAUCGAUUUUAACUACUUCAAAUUGAGAUUUUUGAUCAAUUCUUUAAUCUUUGAUAUAACUACUUCAAUCUUUGAUAGAUUCUUUCAUCUAUCUAUCUAUAAAGUUUGAAGAUAAUAGUGUUGCUGUCGGAUUCUUGUCUACUGUUUCUCUUUCUUUCACAAAUGAACAUUUUUUUUUGCUUUUUAUAACAACAACAAGAGAAAAUCAAGAGCUAAGGAUUAGGGGUUAUCUUUUUAUUUUUUUUCAUGGAAAAUCAUGUUUUCAAUUAGUAGUUUAAUUAUUUUUUAUUGAUAAUCACUAUUUUGAUUUUAGAGUACUUUGCCUUCACAAAUGUUUGAAGUUGAUAAAUACUGUCAUAGAAGCACAAUGGGGAUUUGGAAGUUAAUAAACAUAUUUCAAUAUAGAGGUUAGAAUAUUGAUGGAAAAACAACAAUGUUCUUAUGUGGUGUUAAUCAAACAGGUGAAAUGUAUGAGCCUUAAAGUUGCCAAAACAGGUGCAUAUCGAAUUGCACAAAUCAACUUGAAUCUUUGCCUAACUGUCGAGUUUUUUUUAUAAAUAUUGUUUUUGGUUAUUGUUGUAGCCUUACAGGUAUCAAAUUACAGUAUUAUAAAUUAUGGUUUCACUAUGAACUAGAGAAGAUUUUAUUCAUCCAUCUUUUCCAAAAUUUGAAUAGUGUCUUUGCGGCAAAAUUCAAUUCUACUGAAUAUGAUAUGCAUGAACACUAUUCUGAUAUGUUCAGAACACAUCAAGUGAGUUGAAUUUGGGUUUGUCCAUUCUCCUGAACAUGCACCAGCACUGAAACUACAAGUUUGAUGAUGUCUAUGUGUGCAUUUUAAUUCAGGGUCGAUAUGUGUACAUUAUCAUAAUUAAUUCUUGUUUCUUUUUUUUGUACCCAUGUAGUUGUUUAUUUGUAUUGUUUUGAAGUGAGAAAAUGAACCAUUACAACUUACAAGCAAAGUUGAGGGGCUUAAAUCAUAUAGGCAGUAAAUACUAAAUACUGUUGUUCUUUUCUGCAGAAAUAAAUUUGACAUAUUUGGGGCCGCUGGAUUGAAGAAAGAAAUAAUGCCAGAACUUCAACAUUCUUUGCAUUAUUAAGUUCAAUGGGCACUGCUUAUAGUUUAGUCUUUUUUGCAGUCUGCCUCUUCCAAUGCGCAAAACAGAUGGUCAUUUUGUAGGGUCCUCUAGUUUGGUGAUCUGUUAGUCCUCUAGUAACGAUGUUUUGUGGUUGUAUUUGGCUGACUUAUGGCUUGUACGUUGUUUAAUUAUUUGCAAUAAUUAAUAGUGCUUUGUAAGACAAAUAAGAUUAAUGUUUAUUUUGGAUAUUUUUGCGAUCAUUUAUCGGUUAACGACAUUAU
rnacentral:lncRNA from 1 species